UCUGACCUCACGCGCGUCCUCUCUCGCUCUCCCCUGAUUCAGCAGCUCUCGCAGGUCUUCCCUUCCACUUCCACGCAGGUCUCCCCUUCCUCUUCCCGUUCCACUUCCACUUUCACCUUUAAUUCCCAAGCCGUCCGGUGCCUCUCCGGUCUGUCUUCUUGGUCUGCCUAACAAAUCCAAGAUCGAUCAGUCUCGCUCCGCUGUCAAUCUGGAGGUUUGCUCCCUCCCCACCGAUCUGCUGCAAUCCGCCUGCACGUCCGCCAGUAUGCCCCCCAUCCCCCACGCUCGCUCUCGGAGUUCGGAUGCGGGCCAAUCGUGAUUCGUGGUUCCCUUGCCGCCGACGCAGAUCAUGGAGGAAGACAUGGCCGAAUUUGGUCUGCGCCGUACCUCCUCUCACAUCCCGCCACUCGGCCUCUCCUCCACAUCUCUAUGGUAGGAGCGCGGGCUAGGCCGCCUUUCUAUCGCCGGCCACCCUGAAUCCCAGAUCCUCGAUGAAGCCACAAUCCCAGAGGAUUCUACCCGCCGUGCUCUUCUCAGCAGUGAUGGCCUCGCCAAGAGUUAGUUGCGUCGGCUGCACCAUAGAGUAAUCCAAGAAUCGGAAGCAACGAGGUAUAUACGUUUUCUCCCAGAUUGGUUAGAAGUCCCGAAAAAAGGAUUGUUUUGGAAUUAGAAAAUCUGAUUGGGGCAUUAAUUUACUUUCUUUCUUUUUGAUGCGAUAUUAGGAAAAGGAAUCAUUUUGGGUAUGAUUACGACUUACCUAAUUUACUUCUGCAGCCUGAUUUCUUCAUGCUUUGGCAUGUAAUUAAUUAGGAACAUCUCGAUUUUUUUAUGCAAGUUUGUUAAUGCAGAUGACAGUGGGUUCACACGUAUCAUACAAGUUGGAAACUUCCAUUUGGGUGGAGCUAAUUUUCAGGUGGCCAAGAAAAAGGAUCAAAUUUUUAGGAAUAUUGGAAAGUCCAGAUUCGACACGUCAGAGUUUCAACAAAGCAUCAUAUUAUGUUAUGAGCUGCCUCAAAGUUUUCAGGUGAGAACUACAAAUGAACACGAUUAUUUGUACGAAGAAGAUGAGUCAUGGCCUGAUGACAGCUUAGUACUUCAUUGUUGUAUAUUCUUAUUACUCUCACUGUUGAAACAGACAUCUGUAUUGCUUUUGAGUACAUGCGCAACUGCACCCAUUUAAAUCUUAUAUCCAUUGAUAUCUUUGUCACUAAUGUCAUGGGCCUAUUCUCUUCAUACCCAUGUGAGUCAACAACAGAUCCGCAAGGACAUUCACAAUAUGCAGAUGAUCACCAAAUUUCACCUUCAUGCACGGUGUUGUAGACUUAGAAAAGAAAUAUUCAUGCAGCCAUAUGAAUAACCAACAGUCCCUCCUCAACUCAUGUUCUAUUUAUUGACUAAAUAAAUUUUCAGUCCACUGUUUUCAGGAAAAUAACAAUUUCUAGAAUAAUUUCAUGUCUUGAAAUUAAGCAAUACUGCAGGGUUACCAUGAUACAUGACUUUCAUAGAAACACGAAUAUGGGAGUACAUACCAGUUUGCACCAUCUUACCUUAAUCCCUGAUUAUACCGCUCAAAUUAGCCUCACCAUGCUAUUUAUUUGAUCCCUUCAUGUAUGUUACUCUCAUAAUACAAGUUAUAAUGCUCGGAGAAAAUUGGAGUUACAGCCGCCUGCUGGUACACUAUCUUGCCACUUACCGUGAGAACAAUGAAACAUGGAUGGUUACGGUAGAUGGAGGGCCAGAGUUUCACUAUUCAUUUUGUCAUGCAUGCUCAAAACAAAACCAAAAGAUAUCAUCGGAUUGUAGCACUGCAGGAGAUCUUGCAGCUUCCGCUCAUCGGCGAUCUUAAUGGAGUGGCUACACAAAAUAUCCAGAUAAACAUGAAGAGUCUAUUCUCCAAUUUCAGUUUUUUUGAAGAACCAAGAAUGGCAAGUACAACUCAACUUCGAAUUUUUUCUUUGUUACGAAUGCAAAACAUAAAAUCAUCUGAGGAGGGAAUUUCUAGACAAGGUACAACCUAUAGGUAUAAGCCUUUCAAAAAAGUUAUCAUGCCAGUAUAAAUAAAUAAAUUAGUUUUGUUUCUGUACGGUACUGCUUCCUUAGCAAAUAAAGAAUUAUAUCGAUGUAUGCUAUUCUUGAUGCCUCUUUGGAUAUGCUUUAGCUGUACUAUCAUAUGCCCAUACUUUAUUUUUCCAGUUGUUAAGAUUUGGCCACACGAAUUUGAACUUCUUUAUAGGUGAACAAAUGCCUCAUCUGGAGCAACUAUAGGCUAACCAAGUGUACUAGAAUUACUUCAAUGCUCUUAAAAUACAACAUAGUUACUUGAGAGAGGAAUCGAUGCACGUUACUGAUAAUUCUCUUUAUGUUUGUGCAGAAAUAUGUUUGCUCAACAUUUCAAAUGUAAAUAUAAAUAUUCCAUUGGAUCUCCAAUACCAAUAUUUAGAAUGUAAUUGUAAUGUUCAGCAUUUCAAGCUGUAUUUAAUAUUCAUUCGUACAUAUAUGCUUUUCUUUGAAUC